CGGACGGGUGAGUAACACGUGGAUAACCUACCUAUAAGACUGGGAUAACUUCGGGAAACCGGAGCUAAUACCGGAUAAUAUAUUAAACCGCAUGGUUCAAUAGUGAAAGACGGUUUUGCUGUCACUUAUAGAUGGAUCCGCGCCGCAUUAGCUAGUUGGUAAGGUAACGGCUUACCAAGGCAACGAUGCGUAGCCGACCUGAGAGGGUGAUCGGCCACACUGGAACUGAGACACGGUCCAG
rnacentral:rRNA from 1 species